rnacentral:rRNA from 1 species
GAUGAACGCUAGCUACAGGCUUAACACAUGCAAGUCGAGCGACCGGCGCACGAGUGAGUAACACGUAUCCAACCUGCCCUCUACUCGGGGAUAGCCUUUCGAAAGAAAGAUUAAUACCCGAUAUAAAGGAUGGGGAUGCGUUGCGUGAGGUUGUUGUUGAGGUAACGGCUCACCAAGCCUUCGAUGGCUAGUGGUUCUGAGAGGAGGGCCCCCGGGAUUGGAACUGGGACACGAUCCAAACGCGUAGCAGCGGCAGGAGUUAUGCGUAAUGGGCAAUGGGUGCGAGCGUGAAACAGCCCAGUAGCGUGAAGGAUGAAGGGUUGUGGGGCGUUGUCUUCUGUGACAAAAGAAUCGGUAUUAGAUGAAUAAGGAACGGCUAACUCCGUGCCAGCAGCCGCGAUAAUUC